GACGAACGCUGGCGGCGUGCUUAACACAUGCAAGCCGAGCGGUAAGGCCCUUUCGGGGGUACACGAGCGGCGAACGGGUGAGUAACACGUGGGUGACCUGCCCUCAGCUCUGGGAUAAGCCUGGGAAACCGGGUCUAAUACUGGAUAUGACUCCAUGACGCAUGUUGUGGGGUGGAAAGCCUUGUGCGGCUGAGGAUGGGCCCGCGGCCUAUCAGCUUGUUGGUGGGGUGANGGCCUACCAAGGCGACGACGGGUAGCCGGCCUGAGAGGGCGACCGGCCACACUGGGACUGAGACACGGCCCAGACUCCUACGGGAGGCAGCAGUGGGGAAUCUUGCGCAAUGGGCGAAAGCCUGACGCAGCGACGCCGCGUGAGGGAUGACGGCCUCGGUUGUAAC
rnacentral:rRNA from 1 species